rnacentral:tRNA from 1 species
GGGGUUGUGGCUCAGAGGUAGAGCUCUUGCCUUGCACUUAUGAGGCACUGGGUUCAAUCCUCAGCACCA